rnacentral:rRNA from 1 species
CGGUCUAUCAUGCAAGUCGAGCGGACAGAUGGGAGCUUGCUCCCUGAUGUUAGCGGCGGACGGGUGAGUAACACGUGGGUAACCUGCCUGUAAGACUGGGAUAACUCCGGGAAACCGGGGCUAAUACCGGAUGGUUGUCUGAACCGCAUGGUUCAGACAUAAAAGGUGGCUUCGGCUACCACUUACAGAUGGACCCGCGGCGCAUUAGCUAGUUGGUGAGGUAACGGCUCACCAAGGCGACGAUGCGUAGCCGACCUGAGAGGGUGAUCGGCCACACUGGGACUGAGACACGGCCCAGACUCCUACGGGAGGCAGCAGUAGGGAAUCUUCCGCAAUGGACGAAAGUCUGACGGAGCAACGCCGCGUGAGUGAUGAAGGUUUUCGGAUCGUAAAGCUCUGUUGUUAGGGAAGAACAAGUGCCGUUCAAAUAGGGCGGCACCUUGACGGUACCUAACCAGAAAGCCACGGCUAACUACGUGCCAGCAGCCGCGGUAAUACGUAGGUGGCAAGCGUUGUCCGGAAUUAUUGGGCGUAAAGGGCUCGCAGGCGGUUUCUUAAGUCUGAUGUGAAAGCCCCCGGCUCAACCGGGGAGGGUCAUUGGAAACUGGGGAACUUGAGUGCAGAAGAGGAGAGUGGAAUUCCACGUGUAGCGGUGAAAUG